rnacentral:rRNA from 1 species
AUAGGAGCUGACGCCUGCCCGGUGCUGGAAGGUUAAGGGGAUCUGUUAGAGCAAUCGAAGCAGUGAACUUAAGCCCCAGUAAACGGCGGCCGUAACUAUAACGGUCCUAAGGUAGCGAAAUUCCUUGUCGGGUAAGUUCCGACCCGCACGAAAGGCGUAACGAUUUGGGCACUGUCUCAACAACAGACUCGGUGAAAUUGUAAUUCCGGUGAAGAUGCCGGAUACCUGCGACAGGACGGAAAGACCCCAUGGAGCUUUACUGUAGCUUGACAUUGGGUCUUGGUACUACAUGUACAGGAUAGGUGGGAGGCUUUGA